rnacentral:lncRNA from 1 species
GGGUUGCAGAGAGUGGCUCUGUAUAUUUUAAAAUAUGUCUUCCUACACAUAAAACAAGGCUGGUCAGCUUCAUUUAAAAAAAAAUUAAAAAGUUUACCAACAAAAAUUCAUACAUCCACUUGAUUCCAUCCACCCUGGAUAGCCAUCUGGACACUGCAUUGUCAUAAUUUACCCAAAUUUCUGUGACUGUUGUUGAUGACAAAUGGGAUUUAUGUCUCUAGCUAAAGCAAACACUUCAAACAUCUUAAAGUGAAUAUUUUGGGGUUAGAGCAAUUCUUAUGAUUUCAUGUUACAGUGUGAAAUGGCUUCACUUAUGGUUUCCAAAAAAAAAAUCCACAGAUUUGUGGGUUUUGGUGCUUUGAUUUUAAUGUUGAUAUUUUUCCAAAAUGUCAUGGGUAAGACAACUUAAAAAGCUAAAUAAUAUUCCAAAUACUUAGGGGGCCUGAAAGGAAUUGUGAGGAGUUGAGCCUUUUGUUUUAACAAAGUUUCUCUUGAAAAUGUAACUCCAACCAUCAGGUGCAAAGGGAAUCUUGAGCCUUCCUCUCCUCCAGGCCUGGAUCCUUCGCCUCCUCCUCUUUCUCCUAGGGAAGCUUGCCUGGGCAUCUUGCCACUAACCCAGCUCUUGCUGGUAGGUAUGACUGCAACCUGCCUUGGCCCCACGUACUGGAUAACUCCCGGGGUAGGCCCUGGGGUGCUUGAUGAGUGAGUUGCAGAACUGACCUCAGCCCAGGGACCUUUGUCUGCUGGUGACUCUUGUCAUUUGUUGUCCUAGUUCCUAACCCCCUCUGCAGGCCGGAGCUUGGAGGGCUUCAGCUUGUCCAGCUGGUGCCUGUUGACUGUCUCUUCCUGAGGACUCCUACCUGUCGGCCAUCUGCUGUCCAAGCACACUGUUAUCAAAGGACUUGCUGAGAGGGGUCGUGGUGUUUCAAGACUGGCAGUGAACAAAGCUGACAGACUGAUUUCUGUGUAUCAAAAAACUGUAGAAGCAGGAGCCAUCCCUGCUUCAAAACAAGAACAGCAGCAACAACAACAAAGACCCAGAACUACAUAACCACGGGUACAGCACAUCUGAGGACGCCAUCUUAUAGGACUAAAGUAAGAAUAAUAACUCUACAACGAGUCUUGACAAUGCUAUUGAAGUGAAAUGAUUUUUUUAAAGAAACCUCUCCAGUUCUUGGCUGUCAUCUAAAGGAAGCAUUGCAUUUUGAGCAUCCUGACUUUAUGGAGCUCAUAAAACUGUGUCUCUAAAUGCCAAUGUGCUGAAAAGUUAUGAGUGUUAAAAAGUUAUAUGAGUAUUUAGCAGUAUAGAAAAAGGUCUCUCUUUUCUUAUGGUAUCUGAAUGAUAGUAAUAAUAGUAGUGGUAAUAAAUGUCAUCCUCUAGUAGAAUACUUUCUCCCCGAAACCUUUUAGACCUUUUCUCUUCCUAUAAAGUGGAUGAUAUCACUGUCUCCCUGUGGCAGGAACAGGCGUCUGGAACUCGGAGCUUUUCAUGGGUUGGAAUUGGAACACAGGUGUAUUGCUGCUUCUUGUAGAUUUUGCUGCCUGGGUUUUUAUAUGGUUUCUCCCUGUGGUAGCUUAUAACAUAAAGCUGCUACUCCACAAGCAGUUUUAGCCUCAUUACUACUUGGGAGGCACACUUCUGAGUUGAUCUGACCCAGGAUGGAUGCAUCGUUGCAGAAAGCCAGCUUGGCAGGUUUUGCUUUCAGCAUUUUGGCCUCAGUUAGCCAUGCAGGUGGCUUCCCAUCUGAAUGGAACAUAGAUGAUUGUCUGUUUGGAAUCCUACAGCCAUCAAGGUGAUACCGAGAGGUUUGAUCAUCUUUGCUGGAGCACAGCUUGAGCUGGGUGUGGCUGAAGCUUCAGUUUCAGAAAACAAAGUCUAUUGUAGCAAACUUAAGAAAGGAUUUAUUAUGGGGAAUUAAAUGGAUGCUAGAAUCAACAUCUGUACAUUGAUGUCCUGGUCUUGCCUCCUGGUACCCAUGAAGCUGGUACCUGAUGCUGAAACACUGGCCAAUAAAACUGUCAUAAAAGAACCAGAUGCCUCCUGGGCUUUCCUUGCUGAGCAAAUAGCAGCUUGCUGCCCAAGUGUGGUCUCUGCCUUACUUUUGCUUUCUAAAUUUUACAAAAAUGCAUCUGACUGGCCAACCUAAAUCAUAUCUGGACAUUUGGCUGCCAGAGCUUUGAGACAUGGGGUUUUAGCAUUCUAGCCUCUGUAAUGUAUGUGGGCACACAAGAAGGAGGUAGAAUGUAUCUCUUGUGCUCUGUGAUCAGUAGAAAUGGACAUCGAUCUCCAGAGUCAGCUGAAGAGACCAGAACUGAAGUUACAGGCAGAACAUGGAGUAGUUGUGAAUCUUUCUGGCAUGUGUAGGUGACUCAGAAAUAGCAACGAGUUAAAAGUAGUGCAAGGCUACAGGUUUGUCUUCUGACUUCUGCUUAGUUUCUUUGGGACCAAUAAACUGAUGUUGUAACAUCCCACGUGUGUUCUUGGAAACUCAAUCACACUGGAUGUUGUUAGGGGAAAUAAAAUGUUAAAAGGCCAUCUUGAUUGCAGAGGCUCUCCUAUGCUUAGGUUUGUUGCACAUCUCUAGAUGGGAAUAUGGCAUGUAAGGGUUCCCCAAACCUGACCACAGAAAAGCCUCAUGUCCAAAAAAUGCAGAAGUAGUGUUUCCCAACAGAAAUGGGAAAUGCUAUUUUGAAGAGGAAGCAGUGGUUCUGUGGAGAUGAGGUUUGCUUGAUUUCUAGGGAGUUGAACUUUUUCCAUAGCCUCCAUCUAAAAAGUUUACUCCCCAAAUUAUAGAGUUUCCUGGAGGGCAGAUGGCACUCUACCCUUCAGGAAGAACCAAAUGACAGGAGUCCCUGACCUGGGAAGUCAGCCUGGAUGGUCAGGUAGGAUUCUUGUAGGAAUCCAUAUGGUUUGAUAGUUAUCCCUGGGGCCUCCCAGGAGGGAGCCUGUGAUCACUAUUAGAAAUGAUAGCAAUAAUGAAGUGUUAAUCAGUUGUAGACCAUGUCUCCUUUGUGUUGCUCUGUUAUAGAAGCAGAUGGUGUUGCUGACAAGGAACUGCCUUUAGUUCCAGGAAAAUGAGGGCACCAAGUGGGCAGGAUCACUGAUGUGUUCUGGAGGAGGGAUCUUCAGGGUGUAAAUGUCCCUGACUGCUGCAACUGAGCAGGGCAUAAAAUACACAGACGCCAGGUGAAGGCAGACCCUACCUUAUAAGGAUGUACAGCUGUGACAGCAAAGCCGGAGUGACAAUGAGUAUUGGACCCUGAGUCAAGGUAAUUGGUGAGCAUCCUCCAAAUAUCAGAUGAUGCAGAAGAGGGAAAC